rnacentral:rRNA from 1 species
GGGCUUGACAUCCCACGAACCUGCCUGAAAGGGCGGGGUGCCCGCAAGGGAGCGCGGAGACAGGUGGUGCAUGGCUGUCGUCAGCUCGUGUCGUGAGAUGUUGGGUUAAGUCCCGCAACGAGCGCAACCCUCACCCCUAGUUGCCACCGGGUCAUGCCGAGCACUCAAGGGGAACUGCCAGCGUCAAGCUGGAGGAAGGCGGGGAUGACGUCAAGUCAUCAUGCCCCUUACGCCCUGGGCUACACACGUGCUACAAUGGCCGGUACAAAGGGAUGCGAGACCGCGAGGUGGAGCUAAUCCCAAAAAGCUGGUCUAAGUUCAGAUUGCAGUCUGCAACUCGACUGUAUGAAGGAGGAAUCGCUAGUAAUCGCGCAUCAGCCCGGCGCGGUGAAUACGUUCCCGGGCCUUGUACACACCGCCCGUCACACCACGAAAGCUGUCUGUACUCGAAGUCGCUGAG